ACGGAGGGUGCAAGCGUUAAUCGGAAUCACUGGGCGUAAAGCGCACGUAGGCGGCUUGGUAAGUCAGACGUGAAAUCCCGCAGCUUAACUGCGGAACUGCGUUUGAUACUGCCAGGCUUGAGUGUCGGAGAGGGUGGCGGAAUUCCAGGUGUAGGAGUGAAAUCCGUAGAUAUCUGGAGGAACACCAGUGGCGAAGGCGGCCACCUGGACGACAACUGACGCUGAGGUGCGAAAGCGUGGGGAGCAAACAG
rnacentral:rRNA from 1 species